UUUUACCGCGGCGGCUGACACCAGACUUGCCCUCUCCUUAUUCCCCCAGCUUUCUAGACUGGGUAAAAGCCAACCUCAGCGGACGGCACUCGGGAUAGCCCUGUCACACUUGCGUGUAUUGCAAAGUUUGCGCGA
rnacentral:rRNA from 1 species